UGAGGACAUGGUUGGAACCCGCACCCUCAUGGAUACUAGUCAGAUUCUCAGAUUCCCAGGGGGAAAAAGCAGUGCAAAUAAAUGAGGAUCACACAAUCAUCGCCACCAGCUCAGGGCCUCUCUGGGUUGAUUCAUGAGCUUUCAAAAGGCUCACUCUAUCUGAAUGAUGAAACAAAGGCAAUCGCUUGCAGAGAAGAUAGCCGAAACUAUUUGUGGAUGCUGAGAAGAAAGAUAGGUAAGAGCAAGAUAUUGAAGAUCUUAUAUUACUCCCAGAGAUGAUACUGCUAUAGAAAGAAAUAUAAGGAAAUAACACACUUUGAGCCCCUCGGCACUGUGUAUUCACAAAGAUAUCUUUACUCCACAAUUAUUUCCUCUGAGCACCAUAUUGAGGACAUCUCCUCAUUUAUUAUUAAAUUUGUUAUGAAAAAAACUUCUCUAUUACUUGAAUGUAUAGUGUUUAAUAGUGUAAUUAUUGCAUCAUGGUUAAACUGCAUCAGUCUAUAAGUAGCAAAAUUUAAUCUUAUUAAACAUACCUUUACUCUCAGUUUAACAUUUAAUCCAUUGACAUCUGAGACAGAUGAAUAAAGAGGAAUUAAAGAGCAGGCUGUAUUUGCUCACUUCUGGUAAUUAUUGACAAUUACUAAUAAUAUUAAAUAAAUAUUAAUGUUAAAAUUAGUAAAGCAUCAAGGUUUUGUUAAAGCAGGUAUCAAUAGCAGCAAAUGCCUACUUUGAAGAAUGCAAGUACUUUCUGGUAUUCUCCCAGGUUGGAUUUAGUGAUGCAUCUCCUUGGACUCAUGCGGCAUGGAGAAGCUUGAACUGAGAUUCUUGGAAAAGGCAGAGAGGUCAAGAGGAAGAAAGGAAAUCCAGGAAGAAGAGACUCCAAGGUUUCAAUUGGAGACAAAUUCCAUCUACACAUUCUACAAAGAGCCCCUAUAAGAACUGUUAAGACCCUGAGAUGCUCGUGUGUCCGUGAUCUGGCCUCAAAUAAGAAGAAGUUCUUUCUGGUUCUGGACCAGCACACCCACCCUGAUGCUGAGGAGCAUAAGAGCAAGUUUAGAGGUCAGUGAUGGAGUAUUCAUUUUAGGAAAGAUAAUGGAGACAAUAUCAAAACUGCAAAUGGAGUACUGUAUCAGAGUUUAAGUAGCAACUUGAUACAACACAACAGAUGGAGCUAAAACUGAUGUAUGCAACCUAAAAACUGGCAUUUCUCCAAAUAUAAUCUUUAAUUAAUUAACACAGGAGAAAAGUUUCAUUUUAUUGUCUGACAUAUCAAAACAAUUCAAUAAAGUAAAAACAAGAUGCCAUUCAUAAUUCUAGUGCAACUUGUGGAGCAUUCAGACAUUGAAAUUGUCAUUAAUUACUAAGUUAGAGUAAGGCCUAUUCAUUAGAAGUCACAUGAUUAUAUUAUUCAAGGUUAAAUUAGAUUUACACCUUUAUGUGCAGGUACAUUAGUAAAAACAACAUAUAUAAAAUAAUACAGAGGAAAUCAUAUACAUACGUAUGCGUUUGAAAAGUUUUUUUACCUUUCCUGUUGUGAUUGGGAGGGCCUUUUUUUUCUUUUUCUUUUUUUUUUUUUUUUUGCUAUUUUAGGG